AAACGUGAGGCCUUAAGCUAUAACAGGCCCUUCUCCUCCACGAAAUAAUGGUACAUACAGAAAUGUGAGACCUUAAGCUAUAAUAGAACAGGCCCUUCCUCUCUACCAAAUAUAUACAAAAAUGUGAGGCAUAUAACAACAUAUCCUUCCUCUCCAAAAUGUGAGGCCUUAAGGUAUAGAGUAGGUCCUUCCUCUCCACCAAAUAAUAAUAUAAAAAUGUGAAGCACAGAACAGUCCCUUCUCCUCCACCAAAUAAUGUAAGGACUUAUAAUGCGAGGCCCCAAAUUGUUCGGUUUAUGUGCAAAUGCAGCCCUAUAUCCGAGAUACUUUAUAUUCAUUGAAUGUAACCUAUACAUAAUUGAAUAAAUGACACGAAUACAAGUAAUUAAGAAGGAAACAAUAUUCCAGAAAAUUAAUGAUAUUCGUGUCCUCACGCAAUUUUUUAACUUAAAAAAAUCAAUAUAAACAAGUUAAAUUAUGUAGUAAUUAUAGCUAAAAACAAUUUUUAUUUGAGAACACUUUAAUUAAUUAUUUACAAUUUUGGAAAUUUUAUUCCCAAACCUCCGAACAAUGACUGUCGUUUAGGGAUGACCUUUAUUGAAGGGCCUUUUUUUAAUUACAAAAAUUACUAUUGAAGUCUUAUAAAGCGAAAUUAGACGUAAGGCCUCGUAAUAGGAGGGGGCCUUACUCAAUUUACAAAAUUUAUUACGUAUUUUACAUUAUUAUAAGGCGGAGGGAGGGCCUCUAGUCUCUUGCUAACAAUAAACUUAAAGGCUUUGUUUAGUGUUUAAGUAUUGUUAUAUAUGUAAUUAUGAUAUAAUAAAUAUUAUUUUAAGAAUUAAAGAUGAUAUUUUAUUAAUUCUAAAAGGUUUUUAUCGUAAUUUGAGUGUUGAUAGAUGUAAAGAAAUGUGUUGAAGACUGUAGUAAUGUUGUCUAUCUCACGUGAUGUGAAUAAGAGAUGCUUAGUAACGAGCAUACACAAAGAUGUAAUUACACUUGAAACUUGACUACGAGCUGAUUUUAAUUUGAACGAACAUAAAUCAGAAUGGGCAGAACAUGAAGGAUAAGAAACGAAAGAAGGAUCCGCGGAAACUUCGUGUUUUGUGUACAUUGGCAUGCAUCCUUACUAUAUCCAUACUAGGAAUAUGCGUAGGAGCGGCCAUCUUGAUAAUAGGAUUAUAUUAUAAGUUACCAGAGGGCCUAGAAGAAAGUGGAAUCGUUUUACUCAUCACGGCAGCAAAUUUAGGUGUAUUGGGAGGUUUAUUUUGCCUUAUUUGGUGGUGCAUUAUUAAAAAGGAUCGAAAGGCUGACAGGAAGAGAAAAGCCUUCCUGAAACUUAGAAAAACAAAUGGACCUUCGUGGACUGAUGGAAUUUGAAGGCAAUUUAAUUAAGAAAAUUAGAAAAUGUUAGCUUCUGAAGAUUGUUUUUUUUUAUUUUUUUUUCUACUGUUUAAACUAUAUUGACAUCUUUAUACGGAUAAAGCGUGUCGAUGAAGAAAGACCCUACUUAAACUAGGAAUUUUCAAAUUAAAUACUAGAGUUAAUAUGAUAAUAAUAGUUAGAUGCCGUGCAUUAUUGUAAUUCAUCGACAUUUAUUUGUGCCAAUAUAUAUGCAAAUCGAGAGUGAGAAGAGAUUGAAGAUGAAGGAAUCGAGUAUAUUGCACAGGUGAAUAUGGAUAAAGUGUAAGAAGAUAAGGUUAUUGCUUUCUA